CAACACCAACGCGGGAGCUCGCGCCAUGGCGGGCUGAGAGGGCGACUUGCGUCACGCAGGCGUCGCCGACCGCAUGAACCUGACCGGGUAAUGCCGGCGUAGGGAGUGAAAGUCGUUGACGA
rfam:Amycolatopsis australiensis strain DSM 44671 genome assembly, contig: Ga0074771_106